AAUAACAUCAUCUCAGUAAAACAUGUCAUCAGUACAAUGUGAUCAACUGAAAAGUAUUUAAUCCUGAACAUGCUAAAUAAGAUAAAUGGACUUGUCCAUCGUAAAAAAAUAGACCAAACCAUUCAUUUAUUUUAGGGAAAAUAAGUAUUGACUGAAUAGUGCAGACCACAUAUGUGUUGGCUUUGGACUGCAAUGAUUGCAUAGGGAGAUUUUAGAAUUUGCAAUAAACAAAGAAGAAAGUUUUGUUAUCAAAAAUAGGGAGAUUUCUUUAAUUUGUGAAAAUACCCCUUAUUUUAAGAAAAUCUUUAAAAAUACCGCCUCAGAAAGUGGGAGUCCCCCGCUAAAAGUGGGAGAAUUCACAUAUAUGUAUUUUAUCUAAUUUAAAAUAUUAAAAUAAAAAAUAACAA